UACGGAGGGUGCGAGCGUUGUCCGGAAUCAUUGGGCGUAAAGGGCGCGUAGGCGGUUCGUCAAGUCCUGUGUGAAAUCCCCCGGCUCAACUGGGGAACUGCACAGGAAACUAGCGGGCUUGGGUUCGGGAGAGGGAAGCGGAAUUCCAGGUGUAGCGGUGAAAUGCGUAGAUAUCUGGAGGAACACCCGUGGUGCAGACGGCUUGCUGGACCGUGACUGACGCUGAGGCACGAAAGCGUGGGUAGCAAACAGG
rnacentral:rRNA from 1 species